AUUUAACUCAAUGUACAUACAUUAACCAACAGCAAAGUUACAAUUUACCAGAAAACAUUUAAUUAUAAUACCAAAUCUCUCUCACCACCAUAAAAAACUAUAUACAAUAGGUUAAACAGCGACACCUUCUUGGUACUCAGCUACCCAGCAUUGGUGAUAUUGGUGAGGUGAGGGGCCUGCAGGAGCCCAAAGGACACUGAAGGACAGCACCUACCCAGCCACAGCCUGUUCACCCUGCUGCAUUCUGGGAAGAGGUACAGAAGCUCCCACUGCCGUACCACCAGACUACAGAGCAGCUUCUUCCCUCAGGCAGUGAGGCUGUUACAUUCUUCCUCAACAAUAAAUCAUACAAAUGAUUCAUUUAUGUAUUUUUUGUCAUUUAUCCUCAUGUCCUCAAUGUCAUUGUCAUUAAUAAUUUUUUUCAAAGUAGCAUAAAGGGAACUAUAUCUAAAUCUAAUUCUACAGCUUUUGUGUUGUAACAUUGAGGUCAUAAAAGAUUGUAAACAAUAAAAUAAACUUAAAUCCUUGCUUGUCGCCUUUGUAACUGUUACCAUGGUUACAGAACCUGAGCUUUGAAUCUGCCUUUUUGUGUGGAGUUGACAUGUUAUCCUCGUGUCUCUGAGGGUUCCACUCUGAGUCCAAACACAUGCUGCUUUUCAGAGACCAAAAGGUGUGACUGCGUCUGUCCCUCAGUCUGUGUCCGCCCUCUGGCUGUGAUAGUGACCGGUCCAGGUGAACCCCAAUGUGAGCUGCUGUUACUGACAUUCGAGGUUUGGAUUAGUUCAUUAUAGGCCAUUAGUUACAAAAAGCCUGUUUCCUGCUAACAGCAGAGAGAAAACCACAGCACUGAUACAUAAAGAGGAAGGAGGUGGGCUUUACUCAGUGUGACUGCUGAACUCUAAUGUGCUGAUCUCAGAUGGCCAAGAUCUAAAAUGGAGGAAUCCUCUUUACAGUGGCUGCUGGUUCUGACCUCACUGCUGAGCUGCCCAACAAACCAAGCCUCUCUGACUGUGAGUCCCAGCAGCUCUCAGAUGUUUAAAGGACAGUCUGUCUCUCUGAGCUGUGAGGAGGACGACAGCUCUGCUGGAUGGACACUGAGGAGGAACACAACCAGAGACACCAGGACUCAGUGUGACGACUGGGGAGAACCAGCUGGUUCUUCUUGUAACAUCAGCCCCAUUGCCACAUGGGACAGUGGAGUUUACUGGUGUGAGUCCAGAGAGGGAGCAACCAGUAACACCAUCAACAUCAGUGUCACUGGUAAGAUCAGACUGCUGUAACUCCCUGCA
rnacentral:lncRNA from 15 species